UACGUAGGGUGCAAGCGUUAAUCGGAAUUACUGGGCGUAAAGCGUGCGCAGGCGGUUCUAUAAGACAGAUGUGAAAUCCCCGGGCUCAACCUGGGAACUGCAUUUGUGACUGUAGAGCUGGAGUGCGGCAGAGGGGGAUGGAAUUCCGCGUGUAGCAGUGAAAUGCGCAGAUAUGCGGAGGAACACCGAUGGCGAAGGCAAUCCCCUGGGCCUGCACUGACGCUCAUGCACGAAAGCGUGGGGAGCAAACAGG
rnacentral:rRNA from 1 species